GAAAUGAAACUCACUCGAGCAGCCGAACGAAACCGAAAGGAGGCUCGAACGGCGAGUCCUUUGGCGGAGUUGCUUCAGUCCGUCCUCGGCUUUCGAGCGUUACAGUCGCGAGUUCGGAUCAAAAGGACACUGGGCGAGUGAAGAGCGCUUAAAGUGAAGAGGACGAAACCAAAUGCCAGCGAAAUCAGAAUCUGAUUCAGAAAUCAUAAUCAAAAUCGAAUGCGCUGAAAAACGCCAAUGAACAGCAGUAAUAAGAGUCCAAAUCGUAAGCGAAAGGCGAACAAAGUUUGUAGCAUACUUUUUUGGGUUUACGUCAUGUUUGUCUACGCGAACCGCCAUUUGUGCUUGUGUGCCUGACUUCGCACACAAACACACACACACCAUUAUGUCGCCUGUGUUCGUGCCUGUGUCUGUGCCUGUGUUUGUGUUUGCAUUCGUGUCUGUGAGCCAGAAUGCAUGCCAAUCAGAUUCCUGAAUCCUGAGUCCUGAAUCAUCGACUGUCCAAACACCGUGCAUUGCUUUUGUCCGCCUGGGCUAAUUAGCUGCAGGCAGCAGGUCCUUGUGCCGUUUUACCUUCAAGCUAAGUAAAACGUAGUAAAUGAACAAACGACAAAGCAUCCAAAAUCAAAAGUCAAAAUC